rnacentral:rRNA from 1 species
GCGUGAGUGAUGACGGCCCUAGGGUUGUAAAGCUCUUUUACCUGGGAAGAUAAUGACAGUACCGGGAGAAUAAGCUCCGGCUAACUCCGUGCCAGCAGCCGCGGUAAUACGAAGGGGGCAAGCGUUGUUCGGAGUUACUGGGCGUAAAGGGCGCGUAGGCGGCUUAUCAAGUCAGGGGUGAAAUCCCGGGGCUCAACCUCGGAACUGCCUUUGAUACUGUUGGUCUCGAGCCCGGAAGAGGUGGGUGGAAUUCCUAGUGUAGAGGUGAAAUUCGU